GACGAACGCUGGCGGCGUGCUUAACACAUGCAAGUCGAACGGAAAGGCCCUGCUUGCAGGGUGCUCGAGUGGCGAACGGGUGAGUAACACGUGGGUGAUCUGCCCCUUACUUUGGGAUAAGCCUUGGAAACUGGGUCUAAUACUGGAUAGGACCAUGCUGUAGGUGGUGUGGUGGAAAGAUUAGUUUCGGUAAGGGAUGAGCUCGCGGCCUAUCAGCUUGUUGGUGGGGUAAUGGCCUACCAAGGCGUCGACGGGUAGCCGGCCUGAGAGGGUGGACGGCCACAUUGGGACUGAGAUACGGCCAAGACUCCUACGGGAGGCAGCAGAGGGGAAGAGUGCACAAUGGGCGCAAGCCUGAUGCAGCGACGCCGCGUGGGGGAUGACGGCCUUCGGGUUGUAAACUCCUUUCAGCCAUGACGAAGCCCUUGUGGUGACGGUAGUGGUAGAAGAAGCACCGGCUAACUACGUG
rnacentral:rRNA from 1 species